rnacentral:rRNA from 1 species
GACGAACGCUGGCGGCGUGCUUAACACAUGCAAGUCGAACGGUAAGGCCCUUCGGGGUACACGAGUGGCGAACGGGUGAGUAACACGUGGGUGAUCUGCCCUGCACUUCGGGAUAAGCCUGGGAAACUGGGUCUAAUACCGGAUAGGACUCCUGGCUUCAUGGUUGGGGGUGGCAAGAUUUUGCGGUGUGGGAUGGGCCCGCGGCCUAUCAGCUUGUUGGUGGGGUAAUGGCCUACCAAGGCGACGACGGGUAGCCGGCCUGAGAGGGUGACCGGUCACACUGGGACUGAGAUACGGCCCAGACUCCUACGGGAGGCAGCAAUGGGGAAUAUUGCACAAUGGGCGCAAGCCUGAUGCAGCGACGCCGCGUGAGGGAUGACGGCCUUCGGGUUGUAAACCUCUUUCAGCUAUGACGAAGCGCAAGUGACGGUAGUAGCAGAAGAAGGACCGGCCAACUACGUGCCAGCCGCCGCGGUAA